rnacentral:rRNA from 1 species
GACGAAGGAUGCAAGCGUUAUCCGGAUUCAUUGGGCUUAAAGGGAGCGUAGGUGGUCUGAUAAGUCAGUGGUGAAAUCUUUGGGCUUAACCCAAAGAUUGCCAUUGAUACUGUUGGUCUUGAGUACAGUUGCUGUGGGCGGAAUAUGACAUGUAGUGGUGAAAUACAUAGAGAUGUCAUAGAACACCGAUUGCGAAGGCAGCUCACAAAGCUGUAACUGACACUGAGGCUCGAAAGUGCGGGGAUCAAACAGG